rnacentral:rRNA from 1 species
AACGCUGGCGGCGUGCCUAAUACAUGCAAGUCGACGGCUUUCUAUGGAAGCUUGCUUCCACUGAAAAGAUAGUGGCGAACGGGUGAGUAACACGUGGGGUAACCCUGCCCAUAAGAGGGGGGAUAACAUCCGGAAACGGGUGCUAAUACCGCAUAGUUUUCUUGAUCGCAUGAUCGGGAAAGGAAAGACGGCCUUUGUGCUGUCGCUUAUGGAUGGACCCGCGGCGUAUUAGUUAGUUGGUGAGGUAACGGCUCACCAAGACGAUGAUACGUAGCCGACCUGAGAGGGUGAUCGGCCACAUUGGGACUGAGACACGGCCCAAACUCCUACGGGAGGCAGCAGUAGGGAAUCUUCCGCAAUGGACGAAAGUCUGACGGAGCAACGCCGCGUGAGUGAAGAAAGGUUUUCGGAUCGUAAAACUCUGUUGUCAGAGAAGAACAAGUUGGAGAGUAACUGCUCCAGCCUUGACGGUAUCUGACCAGAAAGCCACGGCUAACUACGUGCCAGCCGCUGC